rnacentral:rRNA from 1 species
GAUGAACGCUGGCGGCGUGCCUAAUACAUGCAAGUCGAGCGAACGGACGCGAAGCUUGUUUCUUUGACGUUAGCCGAGGACGGGUGUGUAACACGUGGAUCACCUACCUAUAAGACUGGGAUAACCUCGGGAAACCGGCGCAAAUACCGGAUAAUCUCUUGAACCGCAUUGUUCAAAAGUGAAAGACGGCCUUGCUGUCACUUAUAGAUGCAUCCGCGCUGCAUUAGCUAGUUGGUAAGGUAACGGCUUACCAAGGCAACUAUGCAUAGCCGACCUGAGAGGGUGAUCGGCCACACGGGAGCGGAGACACGGUCCAGACUCCUACGGGAGGCAGCAGUAGGGAAUCUUCCGCAGUGGGCGAAAGCCUGACGGAGCGACGCCGCGUGAGUGAUGAAGGUCUUCGGAUCGUAAAACUCUGUUAUUAGGGAAGAACAUAUGUGUAAGUAACUGUGCACAGCUUGACGGUACCUAAUCAGAAAGCCACGGCUAACUACGUG